GGAAGGUGUUUUUACUUUGCUUUUAAUUUCUCACUGCUCUAGUCUGCUAGUGAUAGGCAAUAAAUUACAUUAAUCUCCCUAUGCUGAGUCUGUGUUGCCCGAGACGACAACUGCUGAGUCUCUUGAGCCCUUUCCAUUUUUUUUCCCCCUUUUUCCGCUGAGGAGAGGGAGUGAGAGAGUGGUUGUGGUACGGUUUAGUUGCCCAGCAGGGUAAAACCGUUUCAGCAGUGAAAAUGUGCAAACUUCAAAUCAUCCAGAUUUAAAAUGGUUAAUCUCUGUUUACCUGCUUUUAUCUGACUGACCAUCUUACUCAGUAUUUUCAGACAAGUGCUGAUUAUUUAUCUAAAGCCACUCAGCUGCAGAGAAAACAAGAAAAUGAGUGGGUGUGUACGGUACAAGACUUCCACCAAGUAUCCAAUUUCCACAAAAUUUCCAAGCUGAAAGAAUUAUUUACCAGUUACUCCUCAAUGUGAAACUCUUCCAAGAUGAAAGGACAGAAAUUGGACAGGAGAGAAUUUUGUUUACCUCAAACUGUAUGGCCUGGAGCAAAAGCAAGUAAAGAUGAGGCUACAGCUAUGACCAGACAGAACCAGUAGUGGUUUUGGCUUUCCUAUGCUCCAAGGCAGCCAGGCAGAUUUGGCACUGAAACUGCAAGGAGUUGCAAGACUGAAUUUAAGUCUCUAAUCUUGCACAUGGAGACAUCUAAGCAGGCUCUUGAAGAAAUACAGAGCCAGAUGUGCUUGCACAUGAACGAUGUUACACCAAACAAAAGAAGUGGAGACCCAUCACAAGUAUAUGAGGGUUGUGUGAUGUGUUCAGCAGGUAGUCACUUAUCAGAGUGCAAGUGAGAAUGGACUUACAGAUGAACUGCUAAUUCACUAAGACAGCAUGUGGGAAGAAAAGUUCAUUCAGAUGGCAGAUCAAAUGUAAGGUAAGCAAAGCCAUAUCUUCUGCUUGGUUCAGGUUU
rnacentral:lncRNA from 1 species